AUGCAUUUAUGUUCUCUUGUAGAAAUAAAUGGUGUUAUUUUUUGGUGAUAUAUAUUCACUUGUUGUCAUGUUGAAAGAGAUUACUUGUCGGCUAUUAUUCAUCAUUAUUUGCAUUCCGUUAUACGGUUUGUUUCGUUUAUCUAUUAUCUACACACUUGGCGGCAAAAAAUACGAGAAGUCCGUGCAUGUAUUUGCCACGCCCUUGAACCAGUUUGCUAGCUGAAAUCGUCCGAACAACAUCGAUAGAAAAAUUGCUGUAUAAAAGUUACCUUGUAGUAUGAAUUUAAGCUGUUACGUUAGUUGGAUGGAAUUCUAGAGAAAGAAUGGUUACUGGGACACGAAAGGAAGAUAAGUUUUAUAUAUUUUUGUUAUUGUCGUGCAUAACAAAGCUUGAUUUAGAACAAUAUUCAGCUUAUAAUAAACAUUCAUUCAAAAUCUCCAGCUCUGUGCACAUGUAUAUUUGUUAAUAGUUGGACAAUUAUCAUGUCACAAAAGCUUAAUUUAAGGUAAUUUGAGAUAACUGAAAGUACGGACAAUGAUGAUAAUAUUGAUAAAAUCGGUAUCAAAAUGUUCAGUUUUGUCAGUGUGAUGUGGGGUGGUGACAGGUAUUGUAGAUAAUUAUGACGAUAUGCAAUGAUAUGUAUCUAGUAUGAUAAUGUUAUUAUGGUGUUGAUGAUGCUGAUGAUGAUGACGGUAUGGUGGAUAUUAUGAUAUUAUGACGAUAUGACAAUAAUGUUGUUCAUAAUGAUGAUGUUUAUGCUAUUAUGAUAAUAUGGUGAUAUUCAGUUUGUGUCUAAAUGAUCAUAACGAUAUGAUGAUGAUGAUGGUAAGAUGAUGAUUUGGUGACAAUAUGGCGUUGAUAGCGAUUAAAUUACGAUCAUAAAUAUGAAAUAGUUAUGAUUAAUGAUGAUGAUAAUGAUAUAACAUGAUGAUGAUAUGACGAUACAAUAAUGCUGAGAGGAAAAUGAUUACCAUGAUGGUACGUUAUAAGAAUAACAUGAUAUGAUAUUACACGAUACUAUGUUUUGAUUACGAUGAUGAUAUGGUAUAACGAAUCAGUUAUGAUCUUUGUGAUGGCAUGAUAAUGAUGACAAUAAUGAUUGUGAUAUUACGAAAUGAUAAUGAUAUGAAAUCAUGUUGGUACAUUAUAGUACUUUAAGGACGAUGGUGAUGUCGUUGAUGGUAAAGAUGACAAUGGUGAUAAUAUUCUGACGAUGAUAAGACAAUAAUGGCGAUGAUGAUGUCGUUGAUGAUGUUGACAAUACUUAUCUCAAUAAUUAUGAAAAUGUUCCACAUUACUAAUUCGUUUUAAUAUAUUGUAAUAAUUAAGUAUUUCAGUUUGCUAGCAAUACUCCAACAUUAGGGGGAAACAUCAGGUAAAAUGAAUCAAAGGUAAAAGUACAAGAGAACAUGUCGUCUAGUUUCAGCUACAAAUAUAAAGGUAACGGUUAUGGUAAAACAGAAUACAGAUUGAACGUCAUUAUAAAUGGUAAAAAAGUAUCUUGUUUACGUCUUAAAUUAGCGAAGGUGAGUUAUUUCUUUUAUUUACCCUAAUGUAAUGCAGCGUUCUGUGUUUUGAUUGGACGAAUUUUAUUUCAUAAAAUAUUUAGUGGCCCUCAAUACACGUGUCCGUAUGUGCAUUUCGGUAUGGCAUAUAGCAAUUUAUGAACUGAGGUGAACAUUGAGCAAUUCGCCUCACUUUCUCAUCGGCUGUGAAUGGAGAAAUCUCUGCCAUUUGCCAGUUUCUUCAUGGUCAGUCUAUAAAAUAGGCUUCUGUCACUUUGCGUUGCCUGUAAGUUGCUAUGCCAUUUAGCUAGUGAUUGUUCUUGUGUUCAUAUUCAUUUCUUAAAAUUUAAACAUGCUAUAUGCCAUGAUAUCAAUGAAAUAAAGUCGCGGCCAUUUCCCAUCUACUUUGUGUUUGUUGUUUGUGCAUGCUAAUAAGAAUAGUUAAGAAUAUUUGUACUGACGUCGUAAAACGACAUAGAUAUAGCGAACCUCAUGAAAUAUCUGUAUGUUCUACCUUGAUCUCAACCGAUCUUAAGCUGGCCCUUGCAUCAUGAAUUAGACAGCCACCUGCCUUUGGCAACUCAUGGGUUCAUUCCUUUGUGGGUUGCUUAACACAGGUCUGGCUGUAUACUUUGUAACAGAGAGGUCGUGAUGUUGCACUUGGGCGGAUCCGCAUACGUGUAGGUUCAAAGAACAUCUCAAGCGACAAAAAUCAGACAAGAAAAAAUAUUCACAAAUAAGUUUUGUGUAAGCGUUAAAGUUCUGACCAGGUUAAGGUUGCCUGAAAGUAUUUGGCAUACGCUGAAUAUUACGUAUACUUGUAAAAAUUUAAUUCACAUUUUGUAUGCACAUGGGCAUGAUAUCGCUAUCUCUCUGUUGCUGGUCUUGCUGCCUUCUAUUCAUAAUCGGUUCUACCUGCGCCAAUAAAAUAAAUGCAUUUAUGUUCUCUUGUAGAAAUAAAUGGUGUUAUUUUUUGGUGAUAUAUAUUCACUUGUUGUCAUGUUGAAAGAGAUUACUUGUCGGCUAUUAUUCAUCAUUAUUUGCAUUCCGUUAUACGGUUUGUUUCGUUUAUCUAUUGUCUACACACUUGGCGGCAAAAAAUACGAGAAGUCCGUGCAUGUAUUUGCCACGCCCUUGAACCAGUUUGCUAGCUGAAAUCGUCCGAACAACAUCGAUAGAAAAAUUCCCUCCCACCCUUCCCCUUUAAGAAUGAUAUAUGUAUAGUAUCAAUUUGACGUAUUUCUGCUGUCAAGUUUGUUUUUCAGAUCCAGACUGAUACAUUUACGGAGUCUCAGGCAUGUCAACGUGAUAUUCGCAAGGGUCUGGGCGUGUUCAGAAGGCUGCCUCUUGCACUCACCUAUUCAUGUUACUAUAAACUGUCGCAGUGAUUAUCUAUUUUAGUUAAAUGAAAUAGUGAAACGAACGUUUUAAUGUUUCGUGGUAACUUUUGAAAGAGGUGAACAUUUUAAGUUUCGAGGUUUAAAGUGAAAAUGAUAUUCAAUUGCUGUAACAACUUUAUGAUGUUUUGUGUUUUCUUUAUUCUAUUUCUUUUAUUACUUGUAUUUAAUUUUAUGCAUAUAUAAUAACAAUUUUACUGCUUUUAAAUGUAAUCCAACGCUUUCCCGUAUUUUUCUCAAUAGGAGUUUUUAGGGUUUUGGUGCGCGGAUUACAAAUAUAUCUGUCGCGACUUUCUUAAAGCAACGAACAUUUCUAGUGUAGGACUGGAUGCGAAGACAUUUUUAACUUUGCUUGUUGCAGUUAAAGUUUAAAUUGUCCGUUCUAAAGUGAGCAUAAAUAUUUUUAUAAUUGAUCCACACCUAUUUCGAUAAAGCCUUCCUUGGCAUUACGAUACAACGGCUGUAUCAAAAAUCAAAAACGCUUACAUGUCUAGCUUGGUCAGGAGUAUCUGCCGAAAAUAUUUGCCAUCGAAUGACCAUGUCUUAUAUUGGUGUUGCAGGGUUUAACCGGCUGCAACCCUGUUAGAGGGGACCUUGUACCAAAAUAUGGUCGGUCAUUGAUACAUAUCCUUGCACUGACUGUGACUUAGUUUAGCAGGGUGACUCCUCCCGGCCAAGUUGGUGUUAUGCCGUUCGGGAGGAGGGUUUUUUUAAUAUGUACGAGUAGGGCCGUACAUAUCUUUAUAAUUUUGUGUGGAUCAACUUUGCUUCAUACCUCUAACAACAUAUGUGGGUCUUGUAUGUUUAACUUGACCCCCUCUGCUAACUGGAAGCGCCUGUAAACCAGCUCUUUAUUUUGUCUGUGGCUCCCAACUUAUGCUACCAUUAGUCCGUUUAUCAGAACAGUCUUUUGCUUAGAUGGUAUUUAAUCUUUCGCGUUAUCACGCGAUCCUCCCCGGCAUUCGAGUCCGAAGUAAUUCUUUCGAACCUUUGUUAGAGGGGACCUUGAUCAGAAAUGGUCGGUCAUUCACCAAUAUCUUCGUAAUGGCUGUUUCUUAGUUUAGCAGGGUUAAUAUUGAUAAUAAUGGCAAGACCGGGAAAACAAAAUCCUUUGCUACAUACCUCUAACACAUUGGUCUGAUUAUAAAUAGAAGACCACCUGCUAUAUCUGGUAGCGCUUCCUGCUUCUUUAUUAACAUCAAUAGUGCAGUCUUUCCUGGAUAUUAUUUUUGCGUUGACAUUACUGUCGCGAUCCAACCCCCCUUUUUCGUUAAAAUAUGCAAAAUAUUACAGUGGUAAUUCUAUUAGAAACUAAAUAUAAAAGCAAUUGUUGCAUGAUUUCUUCGCUACCAGUCUUACUUGUAGUUCCUAUUACCUUUCGGGAAUGUGCUGAGCAAUUCGCCUCACUUUCUCAUCGGCUGUGAAUGGAGAAAUCUCUGCCAUUUGCCAGUUUCUUCAUGGUCAGUCUAUAAAAUAGGCUUCUGUCACUUUGCGUUGCCUGUAAGUUGCUAUGCCAUUUAGCUAGUGAUUGUUCUUGUGUUCAUAUUCAUUUCUUAAAAUUUAAACAUGCUAUAUGCCAUGAUAUCAAUGAAAUAAAGUCGCGGCCAUUUCCCAUCUA
rnacentral:lncRNA from 1 species